CGUAGGGUGCGAGCGUUGUCCGGAAUUAUUGGGCGUAAAGGGCUUGUAGGCGGUUUGUCGCGUCUGCUGUGAAAAUCCGAGGCUUAACCUCGGACUUGCAGUGGGUACGGGCAGACUAGAGUGUGGUAGGGAGACUGGAAUUCCUGGUGUAGCGGUGAAAUGCGCAGAUAUCAGGAGGAACACCGAUGGCGAAGGCAGGUCUCUGGGCCACUACUGACGCUGAGAAGCGAAAGCAUGGGAGCGAACAGGAUU
rnacentral:rRNA from 1 species